CGAAGACAACGGUUCCAUUUCCAAGCAGAGCGAAGAGGAAGACAACCCACACGCCACAUCGCAGCGUCCACCAGUCGAACAAAUCCUCGCAGGGCAGAAACGGACCUAAGGGAAUUUUAAUGGUUUCAUCCGAGUGUGAAGUGACAUAAGUGCUUCUGGAAAUAGGAGAUGGACGCUUUACUUUGCCUCACGGUAUCUGCUUACUUCAGGGUAAAAUAUCAGGAUAUUUGACAAAAAUAAUAGUGGCGAAUUAAUACAACUGUUAAGAGGGGAGACAAGCUUGGACUUUAUUUGGAGUUGAGGAAUUUUCAUCACAGAGGUUGCAAAUGGCGUAAAGGUGGCUUAAAACUAGCAGAUAACCAUGAACAACUGGCGGACGUUCAAGCCCUAAGCACAACUGAGUCGGGUGCGGGAGACGACUUGGGGAUAUGGGCUUCCUAACCUCAAAAUGUAUGUAAAUCUUACAUAUCCCGAAACCGAACAGUUGUGCUUAGGCCUUCAAAGCAGAGAUGGACAUUUAAUAUGGACACUUACGUUCACGAUGGCGUGAAGGUGGCUUAAAACUAGGAGACCACUAUGAACACCUGGCGAACUUCCAAGCAUAAGAGGUGAACACCCAACAUGAACACAUGGGGUAAAUGGUUGCAGAUGGCGUGAAGGCGACUUAAAACUAGUAGACAACUAUGAACACCUGGCUAUCGUUCAAAGCAGAAUUUGCGACAUGGACUCAUGGAGUUUCACGUUGCAGAUGGCGUGAAGGUGGCUUAAAAGUAGCAGACAACUAUGAACACCUGGCGAAAGUCCAAACAAGAGAUGGACACCCGACACGAACACUUGGAGUUUAUGGUUGCAGAUGGCGCGCGGAACGGGCGACUUUAGAUACUUGGCGAAGAAAUUACUGAUAGAGAAGUCAUUCUUGAAGGGACAACAUUCGGGUUUCAACCAGCAGACAACUUGGAUGGACAUCGGGCUCCGAUACGCAGCGUUUUCUUUUGGUUUGAAGAAGUCGCUAAGGUGGUUCAAAACUAGCAGACGACUCUGGACAACUGGUGAGCAUUGACUGAUCGAAACCAUUCCGAGACAGACAUUGGGCAUCACCACAAGGCGUUUCUGGAAGUGCAAAGAAAACAAAGUACCUAUCUCCGAAAUAUUUGUUUAUAUCUCGAGACAAUGUGACAUUCAAUGGAAAGCAAACGCAGUAAGGACGAAUGCAUACAUAUAGCGGGUCAUAACCAAUGGAAAUUGAAAUUCACAUAAUAUAAUAGAAAAUAAAUUCUGAAGUCAGUUUCAAUUUAGAAAUCGUCCCCUUAACAUGAAGAUAAAUCCACUCAAGGCGGGAAAUACAUUUUCCUUAAUGCCACGUGUUUCGAAAAUAUUCUCUAUUAGAUAUAAAUUUGAUAUUAAAAAUUUCUCUCAUUUAAUAAAUUUAUUAGUUUCGGGAGUGUCGUAUUUUUUCUAAAACCGCGAACGAUUUUAGGGUGUUUUUCAUUAAAUAUUUUCGAGUUGAUUUUUGCAACAUGUUUUCAAGUUGUUUUUUUUAUUAAAAUUUCUUUUGUUUCAAGAGUGUUCGAAAAUUUCAUAAUCGCAAAGUGUUCUUUCUAAUCUGGAAGUCAUCGAUAAUGGAAAAAUAUGUUUACUGUGAUUGACCCUCGAAAAUGCUGAGCUGACAACAUCCUUUGACGGUAAUCUGCAAACUACGUGAAACCAUUAGUAGAGGAUUUGGAAAUGUGGAUCAGUCAUGUGGACCAGAAUAUUCUUAUCGGUAACAGGACUCAUCCAAGGAAAUCGUAGGAAUUUUCAUUCAGAAAGCGAGAAUUCAAUGCUAAUGAGACGUAUUCUACAUUGACGUCUUGUGAAAGACCAGAAGAAAAACUUACUAAAACAACUUAGUGAUAGAAGAGAACGAUCAUCAAAUGGAACAGAGAGAGAAGACACAAGACAGCGUUAAGAACAGGAAGGAAAGCGGGAUAUCAAGAAACUACAUAAAUAGUAACGCGAAGGAUAAAACUUUGUUUUAUUGUAAUUAUGUUUUAAAAAUUAACGGCGACUUAUACAAUUAUUGCUUGCGAUUUAGAAAUAUUGUAAUCUGGAGUUGUUAAUAACUGUAAUUAAUGUAUUUAAUAAAUAAAUAAAACAAGUUAGUAACGGAAGAGGAUAAGAAUGAAGAGGAAGGGCUUCAAAACAACGACCAAGAGAGAAGAUCGGAUUAUCUUCUUUCGACGGAUGAAAAUCACUGUGAGUAUUUAUUUUAGUAAUAUUUAUUCAUUUACUAGUUUUAAGAUGUUACAGUGGCUAAUCUAUAUCAUAUUGAUUUGUUUAAAAUUUCAAUAAUAUUUUCUUAAAUGCAUUCUUAAUCUUCAGUUUUUCAUAUUGAAAUUGCAUAAUUUGAAUCUGUUGAUGUAAAGUUGGAAGAAUUGAAAAUGAUUUUAAACCUCGAAAGGAUGACUAUAUACAUUAACGCAUAUGGUUCAUUUAAUUUAUAUUAUUUACAAUUUUGUUCUUUGAAACUGUAUGUAAUGAACGUUGUUAAUAUUAGUAGGAUGUAAUAUUCUUCAUGAUGUUAAUGUAAUGAUAUGAGGAGAAAGUGAGUCAAGAACAUUCUCUUAAAACAAUUAGAUUAAUUUUAGCUUUUAUUCGAUUGACGUAAUAAGAGUCAAUUGGUUAAAACGAGGGGUUUGGAAUUGAACAGUGACACUAAAAUUAUAAACAUUCGCUGCUAAAUCCUUAUUGGUUUUAUAAAAUCAGACAUUUACUGUAAAAUAUACAUUUAUUUAAAACUUGUGCUAAACAAAAAAAAGAUAAAAAUGUCUAAAAUUAACUUAUAAAAAAAAUGAUUCUAUAGUCAAUAAUCAAAGGUUAAAUUAAAAUUAAAUACAUCCUAUUUCACCAAAUAAGUGAGUCAAGAGAUUUUAUUUUAAAACAAUUUCGAAAUCAGGGCUUAUUUAGAUUAUAUUCACGAUUGACAUAUUAAGAAACUCGAUCACUUAACAGGACCAUGGCCUGAGAAAACAAAUCGAUGGAUUCGAUAGGUAAAGACUUAUCUCUCUGCGGGCGAACUAUUCAAGUGAAAAAAGUUCAUUGAGCAUUAUGUUUUCUUCUUGUAAUGAUAUUCUAAUGUUAAAUGUUGAUAAGCAUUUCAUUUGUUUUCACGAUAUCGAAAAGAACACUUAGAAUAUUGUAGUCAGCAUGAGAUCAAUGCUCCUUAAAGAGUUCACGAUGGGUUUGGAUUCAUCUUUGACUAUAUUGAUUUUACAAUAUAUAGAUGAAUAGCCACACCCUAAAGGGUAUACUUAAUUAGUAACAAAAAAUUCGGUUGAUAUGAAUGAAUGUCAUUUUUGCAAACUAAUUCAUUUUGACUCUCUUACACGGAGAAAAAUGGAAAAAUGAUUUAUGCAGUCAGUGUAGUACUCCUUUAUAGAAUAAUAUGUGACAGGUACACACUAUAUAGUAUUAAAAGCUUCAUAGCUGAACACUUUGGGACUCAACACAAGUUAUCCCAUUCAUCAGCUUAAACAAGACUGUUUAAAUAGUCUUAGAG